UAAAGAAUCCGAAGCGCCUUCUCAAAGCGACGAGGCGGUGACCAAAGACACGUUUGCUCAGUCUCGGUGUGACAAGACCGAGGAGCUGAGCUGGCAGCUGGAGGACAUGCUCGGCAUCUAUUGCAGACAGAGCUGUUUUGCGGCCAGUCGCACAGUCCUGAGCUAAACGGGGUGGAGAAAAAGGAUGGCAAGCCGGGCAGAUCCAAGGGCGGCAGCGGCGGGGAGAAGCAACAGAAGAAGUCGCAGGAGAAGAAGAAAGUGAAGGGUUUAGGCAAAGAAAUCACUCUCCUCAUGCAGACUCUCAACACUUUGAGCACGCCAGAGGAGAAGCUAGCAGGCCUCUGUAAGAAGUAUGCUGAACUGGAGACGAUAUGAACACCCCACCAGUUGGCAUCCCAGUGAGAGCAGACAAUGUUCAGAACAACGCUACACUUCGCCCUAAAACUGCCACUUUCCCACCACACAGCCCCUAGUGGUUAGCAAUCGAAUAACUGCUAGAUAGGUAGAACAGGAACAUGAUGUCAGAUAUAAAUGUCAAGGUAAAGCAGUGGUCAUUCAUGGGGUGUCGGUGGUAUCACACGGGACAAGCUUAAUUGUGAUUUUUUGACCCUCAGCCUCACAAACAAGUUUGUACUUCUCUGGGAUUGGAUUUUUUAAAUGCAAAGUUAACUCCAGGUCU